AGUGAACGCUGGCGGUAGGCCUAACACAUGCAAGUCGAACGGCAGCACAGUAAGAGCUUGCUCUUACGGGUGGCGAGUGGCGGACGGGUGAGGAAUACAUCGCAAUCUACUUUUUCGUGGGGGAUUACGUAGGGAAACUUACGCUAAUACCGCAUACAACCUACGGGUUAAAGCAGGGGAUCUUCGGACCUUUCGCGAUUCAAUUAGCCGAUGUCGGAUUAGCUAGUUGGCGGGGUAAAGGCCCACCAAGGCGACGAUCCGUAGCUGGUCUGAGAGGAUGAUCAGCCACACUGGAACUGAGACACGGUCCAGACUCCUACGGGAGGCAGCAGUGGGGAAUAUUGGACAAUGGGCGAAAGCCUGAUCCAGCAAUACCGCGUGAGUGAAGAAGGCCUUCGGGUUGUAAAGCCCUUUUGUUGGGAAAGAAAAGCAGCAGGUUAAUACCCCGCUGUUCUGACGGUACCCAAAGAAUAAGCACCGGCUAACUUCGUG
rnacentral:rRNA from 1 species